rnacentral:lncRNA from 1 species
CGACACCCGACUGUCAGGCGCUGCGGUUUCUCGACUAGUGGAUUGGCGCUCCUGACGCCUCUGCGCUGCGCAUCAUCAAGCCGCGCCGCUCCCGGAAGUGACGACACCUGGUGUGAGCUGCGAGUUGCGCCGAAUCCGAGACUGGAGAUCCCAAGCCAUGUUGCCUUCGGGCGUCAUCGGUCGGCGUCGCCGCAGGAAGUGACAGAAACUCCUGGCGCGCGCCGGGCGGUGUUUCUUCUGUUUCGGGGACCGGCGGCGGCGGCAGCGGCGCAGGGUGUUUUAACUCAAAUGGGUGAUGAAAAGGACUCUUGGAAAGUGAAAACUUUAGAUGAAAUUCUCCAGGAAAAGAAACGAAGGAAGGAACAAGAGGAGAAAGCAGAGAUAAAACGCUUAAAAAAUAACAACGUUUCUUCGGUGAAGUUCUUUUGUACUUCCAAAUGUCACAGUCUGAUGACCGGGAUUCCAAACGGGAUUCCCUUGAGGAGGGGGAGCUGAGAGAUCACCGAAUGGAGAUCACAAUCAGGAAUUCACCGUACAGAAGAGAGGACUCUACGGAAGACAGGUGAGAAAAUUUUCAAGUUGGUGAAGACAAGGCUGUGAAGAGAGGCUGGGGAGCCCCUACACUACCCAGGGCCCGGGCACCCUUGCACAGUUGGUUGUCUCUGGGUUAUCAGCCACCACUUCAUCCCUCUUCUCAUGCAAAGACUGUACAAGGGCGUAUUCCUGUCUGUCUGAAGAUUCUCCAGGCAGGUUAGCAUCUUUAGAUAGUACAUUUAAAUGUCUGCCCUGUGUUGCAAGCCUAAGGUUUUACACAGUGCCGAAAAGAAUGCUGAGAGGGGCUGCUAUGAGUAACGUGCACACUGAGCCCCGUGUGUUCUGCUGUUUGAUCCUGUGCUGUAGUAUCUCAUCUUUGGUUUCCUUCUCAUAUCUUCUGAGAUAAUCAAAGGAAAUAUGACCACAAAUUAAGGUUGAAUACUUAUCCUGGGAAGCCAAGAGUGUGCAUUUUUCCAAGGUUUUGGUGGUAUAGAAUCAGUUGAAGAUACUGUUAAAUGAACUUUUUAGAUCAUUAAAUAGCUUGAUAAAAUUUUGGAAUCUUUUUAAACAUCUG